rnacentral:rRNA from 11 species
CUGUUCGCCAAUUAAAGCGGUACGUGAGCUGGGUUUAGAACGUCGUGAGACAGUUCGGUCUCUAUCUGCUGUGGGCGUUGGAAUACUGAGGAGGGCUGCUCCUAGUACGAGAGGACCGGAGUGGACGUACCGCUAGUGUACCUGUUGUGUGGUCGCAUGCAUCGCAGGGUAGCUAUGUACGGAAGUGAUAAGCCGCUGAACGCAUCUAAGCGCGAAGCACGCUCCAAGAUAAGUAUUCCCUAUGAGUCUCCCGGAAGACGACCGGGUAGAUAGGUGGCAGGUGUACGCAUGGUGACAUGUUUAGCCGAGCCAUACUAAUUAGACCAUUGGCUUUG